rnacentral:piRNA from 1 species
UCCAACUAUUUGUCACUUCUCUUUCUCCUA